rnacentral:tRNA from 1 species
UGGUGGCCCCUUCCGUGACUCGAACCGGAAACCACACCCUUAUGAGGGGUUCGCUCUACCAAUUGAGCUAAAGGGCC